GCUUCUGUAGUGUAGUGGUUAUCACAUCUGCUUUGUAUGCAGAAGGUCCUGGGUUCAAUCCCCAGUAGAAACA